rnacentral:lncRNA from 1 species
ACGACAUGGGUAAAUUUGUUUAUUUCCACGAUAGUUAUUUUUUUUUAUUAUUUACCUUAUUUAUUAAUUGGGAUUUAUUCUUGAUCUUGGGUUUUGAAUAAUGACAUGGACAUGCCUGGACCUUCUCCAUGCGACACUAGCUUGCACAUAGGUUCUUCAAAGGGAGGAGAGUUUUCUCUCCAUUGAUUUGUAUAGUGAUGGUUUAUGGGACUUGGGUAUUUGCUUUGGAUCAUUGACUUUGAGUUGUUGGAUUUCCUAUAGGGCCUUUGAUUUAUUCCUUUGGGCCUAAUUUGGUUUGAUUUUUGUUUUCUAUUUAUUGGUAUUGGACAUUGGCCUUUUAGAUUGCUGAUUGGUUUGAUUUGAGCCUAAUUGAAUUUGCUUUAUUUGAGCCUAAUUGCACUUGCUUUAUUUGUUUCUUUGGGUUUGCUUGUAUUUAGGUUAGUAUGUUGACAUUAUGCUGAGAGCAAGAAGAAGCAUAGUGCAUAUGUUGGAGGUGGGUGGAGUGGUUGAAGCAAGGUAUGGGCAAGAGCAGAUUUGAGAGGACGAGAUUAAAGACUUCAUAUAUUCUUUGUAUUUUUUUUUUUUUUUUUGUGAAAAUGGGGGGUGGGGGGCUGGACGUUUCUAGAGGAUGGGCUCUCUUUCUUGGUGUAUUUUUCUAUGAAUGUUUUGU